rnacentral:lncRNA from 1 species
CUAUGAAACUAAGCUGUUGCCAAGCUUAUUGACUGACCUAAACCAUUAUCUGCGUGCUCUUCUCCAGGUUCCUUCUCCAUUUUUGUUGCUACCACUGGCUUUACUCUCUUCACCUUGGAAGCUGUGUGUUGAAGAAGUCAGAGCCACUCCUUAGGGAAGGCAAGGUGAAUUUCAGUCUGAGACCAAAUAUUGGAAAACUUUUUGAUAGCCACGUUUGAAACUGUGAGGGAGCAGGCAACAGUAUAAAGUGGACAAGUAGAUAUUCCUAGGAAGUUGGUGCAGAAAAGGAGAGUACUUGGGAAAUUGGAAAUACAGUGAUGGAUUUCUGGCCUGUAUGACGGGAGCAAUAAUGACAUCAUAAGGAACGGUAUCAAUAAGCCUGCAAGGAGCUAGAACUCAAGGUGACCAAGGUUGUCUGACUUGAAGCAAGUGAUUGAUGUUUUAGAAACUCAAGAUUCCUAUUUGUCUAAUGGUACUGGAGGACACAUUCGAAGGAAAUUUCCAAAAAAAAGAGUUAUGGAUCACAUAAUUUUCAUUUUGCUAUUAUGGUAUCGAUAAAGAAACUAUUUGUUCUACAGGGGUUGCAAACAUGGCUCAGUGGUAGAGGUAACCAAGCAUCCCGCAGAGGACCUGACUUCAGUUUCCAGGACCCACAUCAUGAAGCUCAGAAGCACCUGUACCUUCAGCUCCAGGGCAUCUGACACCCUCUUCUGAACUUCACAGGCACCUGUACUAAUAUGUGCACAAACCACACACAAACAUACACAAAAACCAUAGUCACUCAGUUCAGAGUGGGGACUCAUGAUCUUGUGCUGCUAGCCACAGCUGGUUGUAAAAGAACUGCAACAGUUUGCAUAUUUUUCUGUCAUCUUGUUAGUAGUUGCCUUGAUGUCACUCUGCAUAUUAUACACAUUUAUCCAUUUGCUGGGCUUCUAGGUAAUGAAGGACUGUGGAUUCCAUCACAAUUGAUAAAAAUCCAAUCCAAGGAAGAGAACCUUCCACAUGAAAAGCAUGACUAAAGGAAGGAAAAGUUUCAGAAAGACAGCAGAACAGGUGAUGCAGAAAAAACUGAUAUGUCCCACCUGCAUGCGUAAUGGGGACAGCUCAACAAAUAGGAAGAAAAUGGACAGCUUGUUCAUCAGAUUGGCCGAUUGGAAAACCUUAAUGCUCUAGUGGACAAUUGCUGAAGGAAGAUGAUCAGUACUGCAAUUAUGAAGGGUCAUCAU